GACGUACCGUGCGAACGUUAUUCGGAAUCACUGGGCUUAAAGGGCGCGUAGGCGGGUCCGUAAGUCAGGGGUGAAAUCCCACGGCCCAACCGUGGAAGUGCCUCUGAUACUGCGGGCCUCGAGGGGGGUAGGGGCGUGCGGAACUCAGGGUGGAGCGGUGAAAUGCGUAGAUAUCCUGAGGAACACCGGUGGCGAAAGCGGCGCGCUGGAUCCCUUCUGACGCUGAGGCGCGAAAGCCAGGGGAGCAAACGGG
rnacentral:rRNA from 1 species